GUGUUUUUGGUGUGACAUUAUAAGUAUAACCCAGCCUAAGUAACAUUACAAACAAGUACCUAAAGCGAUUUGUUUUCAUCAUCCUGAGCAAUCAACUGAAGUAAAUUCUAAAAUCUCGACAAAUCGGUUACGCGUUUGAAUUUUUUAAAAUAAAAUACAGAAAUUUCCAUCACUGAAGCAUGGACGCCAUUUUAUUCUAAUCUUUGGUGUGCUGGGCAUAACAACGCUGACGCUCAACGAAAUGCCUUCUUCAACUGUGUCGUUAUGGCAGAAUUGAUUUGCAACAUGCCGCCCCACCUCACGGCACGCCACGAGUGUAGAUAUUAAUCCUAGUACUUCGUAUGCUCUGAAAUGAAACAUGCUACCAGCACCCGAUGUAAUGUGUUGUCGGAUGUUGAUAAUGUGUUUCUGAUGCCAUAUUGUAACUCUUCCAAUAAGCUAAUGUGCCUUAUGCGUUGGGGUAUCAUAGUAUUCGAUCGUCUGUGACGUCACUGACGCCACAAACGCUCGACUCGAAAAUCCAUUUUUUUAUGGACAGUCAUAAUUUGACAUCUCUAUUCGUCGAUAGACUACGUUACUAACGUACAUUUUUUUAACUUGAAACGAUAAAAAAUCAAAUUAGUUAUGCUUUUAAAUUACACUUCCAACACCAGACAACACGUCACGUCCGGUAUUGGUAUAACAAUCUGUUUCAGAGUAGCAAAAUGCACGGAUUUGUUUGGUGGUGUGGCGUGUUGCAAAUAUGUCAGAGCCAUUAAAAUCAAUAACUAUUAUACCUACAAAUUUAUUAUAAAAACCUAUGAUUAAAGUGGAUACGGCAUUUGGUCGAGUUGUCAGUCCUACGGAACAUUAUACUGUGUUGCGGUAACGCCUUCGACUAUACACUACGGACGCAGAUAGUAGGUACAAAAAUAAUUCACCUAUCCAAUACUAUUAUGACUACUUAACAAUUAAGUAUCGCGAGGAGACCGCUCUUCGGCCAUUAUUCUCUAGAACAUUCAAAUCGUAUCUUGCGCUUAAGGGUGCCGGUCAACUGCGCGGAGUGGAGUAAAGUCAUGUUCAGCGGACCAAUCAGAUGACGUGAACAUUUUAUCACGUCAUCUUUUACACAUCGUCAUGUGUUUAGAAGACAUCUUUGCUUCCCUUCAAUAGGUAGGCACCUUAAGGCUCUAAUUUCCUAUGAUACCAGUGCCGUCACAAAGCGGCAUCAUAAGCGUCGAAAGACGUCACUGAAACGUCUAUUAAAACAAGAUGGCGUGGUUUCUUAAAGCGUUUUUUAACUGUAACAUUAGUGUCAAAAAUGGCCGCUAUCCUAGGAAACCUGAGCCUAAUUACAAAUUGUGGCGCUAAAUUAGGGUUCUUGUAUGUGGAUGUGAAUAUUGACGUCACAAAAUGGAUAUUACGAUUUCAAUGUUAAAGAGCGAUGGCCAUUAAUAACAGCAAAACAUUUCAACGGCAUAGCCUCUUGCAAAUAGCAAGAGGAAUAGAAAAUAACAAAGAUUAAAAAAUAAUCUUCUCCAGGCAUCUCUGCGCUGAUCGCACUUGGGUAGAGUGGGCAAUUGGUGCGUAUGAGCGUUGUGCAUUUUUGUGUACUGAAAAGCGGAUGAUUUCAGCAGCAACUGUGGCACGGCUCA